rnacentral:RNase_P_RNA from 1 species
UGGGCAAGCCGAGCAGUCGCGGAGGUGCAUGCCUUCGAGGAAAGUCCGGACACCGAAGGGCGAGGUGGUCGGUAACGCCGACCCGGGGAAACCCGCGGGAAAGUGCCACAGAAAUGACACCGCCUACGUCCGGGGCCUCAGCUGAGCCUCGGGCCGGCAAGGGUGAAAUGGUGCGGUAAGAGCGCACCGGCGUCGCGGUGACGCGGCGCGUCAAGGCAAACCCCACCUGGUGCAAGGCCAAGCAGGACCGUUGGCAGGCUGCCCGCCGAGGUCCAGGUAGGCCGCGCAGAUGGAUGGCUGCUCCCGACAGAAUCCGGCUUACAGGCUUGCUACGGAG